rnacentral:piRNA from 1 species
UAUCUUACAGGUCACGACGACUUCAGAU